rnacentral:rRNA from 1 species
GGCUCAGAAUCAACGCUGGCGGCGUGCCUCAGACAUGCAAGUCGAACGCGAAAGUUCCCUUCGGGGAGCAAGUAGAGUGGCGCACGGGUGAAUAACACGUAGGUAAUCUACCUUCGGAUGGGGAAUAACAACCGGAAACGGUUGCUAAUACCGCAUAAUGCAGCGGCACCUAAUGGUGACAGUUGUUAAAGCGGGGGGAUCGCAAGACCUCGCGUCUGGAGAGGAGCCUGCGGCGGAUUAGCUUGUUGGUGAGGUAAUGGCUCACCAAGGCAGUGAUCCGUAGCCGGCCUGAGAGGGCGGUCGGCCACACUGACACUGACAUACGGGUCAGACUCCUACGGGAGGCAGCAGUCGGGAAUUUUUGGGCAAUGGGCGAAAGCCUGACCCAGCAACGCCGCGUGAAGGAUGAAAUCCCUCGGGAUGUAAACUUCGCAAGAACGGGAAGAAUAAGCGAGAGUUAAUAUCUUUCGCGAUGACGGUACCGUUUGUAAGCUCCGGCUAACUCCGUG